GAUGAACGCUAGCGGCAGGCCUAAUACAUGCAAGUCGAACGAUAUUACCCAGCUUGCUGGGUAUGAAAGUGGCGCACGGGUGCGUAACGCGUAUGCAACCUACCUUAUUCAGGGGGAUAGCCCGAAGAAAUUCGGAUUAACACCGCAUAAAAUCACAGUUCAGCAUUGGACAAUGAUCAAAUAUUUAUAGGAAUAAGAUGGGCAUGCGUGUCAUUAGCUAGUUGGCGGGGGAACGGCCCACCAAGGCGACGAUGACUAGGGGGUCUGAGAGGAUGACCCCCCACACUGGUACUGAGACACGGACCAGACUCCUACGGGAGGCAGCAGUAAGGAAUAUUGGUCAAUGGAGGCAACUCUGAACCAGCCAUGCCGCGUGCAGGAAGACGGCCCUCUGGGUUGUAAACUGCUUUUAUUCGGGAAUAAACCUAUUUACGUGUAAAUAGCUGAAUGUACCGAAGGAAUAAGGAUCGGCUAACUCCGUGCCAGCCGCCGCCGUAA
rnacentral:rRNA from 1 species